GACGUAGGGCGCGAGCGUUGUCCGGAUUUAUUGGGCGUAAAGAGCUCGUAGGCGGUUUGUCGCGUCUGCUGUGAAAACUCGGGGCUUAACUCCGGGCCUGCAGUGGGUACGGGCAGACUAGAGUGCGGUAGGGGAGACUGGAAUUCCUGGUGUAGCGGUGGAAUGCGCAGAUAUCAGGAGGAACACCGAUGGCGAAGGCAGGUCACUGGGCCGCAACUGACGCUGAGGAGCGAAAGCAUGGGGAGCGAACAGG
rnacentral:rRNA from 1 species